rnacentral:misc_RNA from 1 species
GAUGAAGAACGCAGCGAAAUGCGAUACGUAAUGUGAAUUGCAGAUCUCUCAGUGAACCAUCGAAUUUUUGAACGCACAUAGCGCCCGCCGGUCAUUCCGGCGGGCAUGCCUGUCCGAGCGUCGAUGACGCCGCUCGAGCCCCCGUGCUCGGUGUUGGGGCGCUAGGUCUCCCAGAGGCCUAGGCCCCCAAGUAGCAGUGCGCGGUCCGGCUGCGGGCCCCGGGUACAGUAACUUCACUGUUGAGAUGCCCUGGGAGCCGCUGGCUGGUCAGCCGUAAAACCCCCGACAUAGGCCUUCCUGCCCGCCCCCGGCGGGGAGGGAGACCGCCUAAUGUUGACCUCGGAUCAGGUAGGACUACCCGCUGAACUUAAGCAUAUCAAUAAGCGGAGGA